rnacentral:misc_RNA from 1 species
GAUGAAGAACGCAGCGAAAUGCGAUAAGUAAUGUGAAUUGCAGAAUUCCGUGAAUCAUCGAAUCUUUGAACGCACAUUGCGCCCCCUGGCAUUCCGGGGGGCAUGCCUGUCCGAGCGUCAUUUCUGCCCUCAAGCACGGCUUGUGUGUUGGGUGUGGUCCCCCCGGGGACCUGCCCGAAAGGCAGCGGCGACGUCCGUCUGGUCCUCGAGCGUAUGGGGCUCUGUCACUCGCUCGGGAAGGACCUGCGGGGGUUGGUCACCACCAUGUUUUACCACGGUUGACCUCGGAUCAGGUAGGAGUUACCCGCUGAACUUAAGCAUAUCAAUAACGGAGGA